rnacentral:rRNA from 1 species
UACGUAGGGGGCAAGCGUUGUCCGGAAUCAUUGGGCGUAAAGCGCGUGUAGGCGGUUCGAUAAGUCUGCUGUGAAAGUCAAAGGCUUAACCUUUGAAUGCCAGUGGAUACUGUCGGACUAGAGUGCGGAAGAGGCAAGUGGAAUUCCUGGUGUAGCGGUGAAAUGCGCAGAUAUCAGGAGGAACACCAACGGCGAAGGCAGCUUGCUGGGACGUUACUGACGCUGGAGACGCGAAAGCGUGGGGAGCAAACAGG